rnacentral:misc_RNA from 1 species
UAAUUUUCGAUAUAUCGAUAGUAGGAUAGUCAAGUUGUUCAAGUUACGAAGUGAAAUUUUGUUUGUGAUUUUAAAUCACUGAUUUGUACUGGAGGUGAUUUAUAUAGUUAAUUAAAUAUUAAAAAUGUCGAGAAAAAUCGAGCAUCGUCAAGUAACUCCACUGUUACAAAUAUUUCGAGAGUUGAUACGAGGUAAACCUAUUAAAGAGGGAUUGAGAUUUACAGACGAAUUAGCUUCACGUACACAGCCAGACCCAAAUGUACCUGGUGGACCAUAUCAUAAAACAUCAAAAGUAUAUUACUUUACACGUGAUGCUAGACGUCUUGUUGAACCUCCAAUUGAAGUAGUUUCACGUAAACAAGUAACAGCAGGGAAAGAUGCUCCUAGUGAAAUUAAAAGCUGUACUCCAGGUAAAGUUUUUAUACCAGAAAAGUGAAAUGUGAUAAAACUGUUACGAAUUAUACUCUUGAUUGUAGUAUAUAACAAAUAGUAUAAGUGUUAGGUUUAAUUGCCGCCAGACAUCUA